rnacentral:tRNA from 1 species
GGCUCGAUAGCUCAGCUGGAUAGAGCAUCUGCCUUCUAAGCAGACGGUCACAGGUUCGAAUCCUGUUCGAGUCA